rnacentral:rRNA from 1 species
UACAGAGGUCUCAAGCGUUGUUCGGAUUCAUUGGGCGUAAAGGGUGCGUAGGCGGCGCGGUAAGUCGGGUGUGAAAUUUCGAGGCUUAACUUCGAAACUGCAUUCGAUACUGCCGUGCUUGAGGACUGGAGAGGAGACUGGAAUUUACGGUGUAGCGGUGAAAUGCGUAGAUAUCGUAAGGAAGACCAGUGGCGAAGGCGGGAUCCUGGGCCAGUACUGACGCUGAGGAGCGAAAGCGUGGGGAGCGAACAGG